rnacentral:rRNA from 1 species
AGACAGAGGGUGCAAACGUUGCUCGGAAUCACUGGGCGUAAAGCGGGUGUAGGCGGGUCGACAAGUCUGGUGUGAAAGCCCUGGGCUCAACCCAGGAAUUGCAUCGGAAACUGUCGGUCUUGAGUGCCGGAGAGGGAGGCGGAAUUCCCGGUGUAGAGGUGAAAUUCGUAGAUAUCGGGAGGAACACCAGAGGCGAAGGCGGCUUCCUGGACGGCUACUGACGCUGAGACCCGAAAGCGGGGGGAGCAAACAGGAGUAGAAACCCUAGUAGUCC